rnacentral:rRNA from 1 species
UGGAAUUGCUAGUAAUCGCAGAUCAGAAUGCUGCGGUGAAUACGUUCCCGGGCCUUGUACACACCGCCCGUCACACCAUGGGAGCCGGUAAUACCCGAAGUCAGUAGUCUAACCGCAAGGGGGACGCUGCCGAAGGUAGGAUUGGCGACUGGGGUGAAGUCGUAACAAGGUACC